ACCUGUUGCUGUUGCUACUUUUUCUAGUAUUGAAUAUUUAACCAAAAGAAAAAUGUUCAAAAUGUUUUCAGUAAGGCAGAACUAGUGCAGCUCUUGCUUUUGGGACGCCAGGAAUCCAGCAAAAUGAAUAGGCCACGUGACAGCAUGCAGCUGGACGAGCCACAAUUGCUCCAAUGCAGUGCGGUCGUCUAGGUUUCUUUCAAGCACGACAAAACAGGCAGAAAAGGGCGCGACGAAUCAUACGCGGAAAAAAGAUACGCAAAUUCGGGAAGCUUUGACCCCACCUGACCUUUUUUCGCCGAAUCAAUAACCUCAAUUCGUUCUACUUCUCUCACGUUUAUAAACAAGGUAGGUUCGUUUGCAAACUUGAGCCUUCUCACCCACCACAAUGCUUUGCUCAAGCAGCAUCUGCAGAAAGAGCCGUGCAAAACGCUCAUGGCAUCGCGUCUGCGUCAAUUUACGAAGCUGGCUAUACAAAAAAAAAAACUAUUAAGUUUGUAGUUGUAUAGUAAAGGAAAUUUCUACUGGCUUACAAACAGCUGCCAGAACGGAGUGCUCAAAAAGAAAGGGAGAAUAAUAUGAGAAAGUAUAGAGAACCAACGUACAACUUGCGAUGCAUACAGUAUUUACAACACCGACUAACAGCGCUAUUUACUCAAAUAUUUCCCCUCCCAAAUUGGAGACAGUAUUAUUGCAUGCAUGAAUAGGACAUUAAGCCAAUCAUUGUAGAUAUAACGAGAUUCCAGAAAUUGGCGGGGCAUUUGCAGACCCAUCUUUGUUCACGGAACAGUGGCGAGGCAUUUUUCAAGUGUGCGCGCAGUUGCCCACCUGCCAAUUACGUUCGCGAUGUCUUGACAUAUGCAGACCUGCGCGAGACUCGCCCGUCUCCCGUUGUUACAUUUGUUCUUUCGUUUGAGCGGUCAUCGGCCCCACUCGCUCACCCGCUCUUAAAAAAAAAAAAAAAAAAAAAAAAACGAGAACUGGAUUGCACAUUCACGACACCACGCAAAUAAAGACUUUUCGUACUUGCAAACUUGAGGUUUUCGUGUAAUUCUGCACAUAUGAAAUUUCGUGGUAUCGCCUAUACGUUUAUAAAGCUAUUAAGCAAGUACUUCUACAUCUGUCGUUCGCCCAAGCUAUUUAGAAUUUGCGUGAGCACACCAGUUAAGAAAUAUGAGCAUUGUGAACUUCUUAAAAAUGCCAAUUAAAGCUUUUUUUGUCUCUCUCUCUCUCUUUCUUUGUGCAUAAAUAAAAAGACAGACUCGCAAAUACCUCUGCAUAUUAUACAAUCAGGAAGGACCACGUCUCUUUACAAAUGAACGUCCAAGCAAUAUAUAUAUAUAUAUAUAUAUAUAUAUAUAUAUAUAUAUAUAUAGAAAAUGAAUUCACUUACACGCAGUUACCAGCCCACCUUUGCCAUUCCAUUUGAUUUAAAAUCAGCCAAUGUUUCUGCGAAUAAAUUUCCACUGAAGCUACCCGUAAACACAGAAAAUGGCUUAGAGGUAGCGUAAAAUAAAUAGCUUGGAAAGUAAUAUACACAUGUAGUUUACAAAAAUAUUUGUAUUUAUGCCUUGAAAACGAAACCGAAAUUGAAAUAACUUCCCCCGACGGGUGUCGCCGCUGUCGCCGCUACGUCAUUUCCUGCGUCUCGCGGCGGGCCGCCGGGUGCAUGUGUGUUAUGGUGUGUUCUCCGUGACAUUCUUGAAGUUGUGAGUAAUUAGGUUGUCUUUUGCUGCGUUUAGGUUGUACCACCUCGUUAACCUCGUUGUUUUCGUGUACUUUUGCGCUCAUCGACGCGAAGUGAGCGUCCGGAGUGAUGGCGACGCGAUUAUGCAUGAGAAAGAAAGGCAGCAGCGGCCUACGACAUCGGUGUUUCUUUGUGACAGUGUGUUUACUAUGCCUACGACGGCCGUCAUUCGUGGCGAAGGAGAAAACAUCUUCCAUUCGGCCUGAAGAGUGAUGAAGUGGACGUUUUGUUUUUCGGCGGAAUGCAUCGUCAACAUGGUCCAUCCACUACGUAAACGAAACGGCGUGCCCAGAGUACACAUCGUGACAGCGCUCCGCCUUCAAACGGAGGGCCUUUUGCAAGGCGCAUGGACUGCUCAUAUAAGGGUUACAGUCAGCAUGAAGCAAUUGCAUGGGAACCGACUGGCUGUCUUGGGCCUACACGUUGCUGAAAAGACAGUGAAGACGUCUGAGCCGACAGGUAGAAAACAAGCAGAUGGCUACAGCGAUCAGUGAAGAAAUGGCUUCAUCUAUGAUGGCUCGCCAUAGGACAUUGGAAUGGAGCUACACAAAGGCAUCACCAGCCUCGCCUGUGCCCUGGAACAUUGGUUUGAAUAAGACUGUUCUUCAGUGUAGAACGACCACAAGACUUGUCACCACAUACAAGGCAUAGUGCAAGCUAUAAAUAUUGUACAGGUGGCUAGAAUAAAUGACCCUCCAUGCAGUCA